GACGAACGCUGGCGGCGUGCUUAACACAUGCAAGUCGAACGGAAAGGCCCUGCUUUUGUGGGGUGCUCGAGUGGCGAACGGGUGAGUAACACGUGAGUAACCUGCCCUUGACUUUGGGAUAACUUCAGGAAACUGGGGCUAAUACCGGAUAGGAGCUCCUGCUGCAUGGUGGGGGUUGGAAAGUUUCGGCGGUUGGGGAUGGACUCGCGGCUUAUCAGCUUGUUGGUGGGGUAGUGGCUUACCAAGGCUUUGACGGGUAGCCGGCCUGAGAGGGUGACCGGCCACAUUGGGACUGAGAUACGGCGCAGACUCCUACGGGAGGCAGCAGUGGGGAAUAUUGCACAAUGGGCGGAAGCCUGAUGCAACAACGCCGCGUGCGGGAUGACGGCCUUCGGGUUGUAAACCGCUUUCGCCUGUGACGAAGCGUGAGUGACGGUAAUGGGUAAAGAAGCACCGGCUAACUACGUG
rnacentral:rRNA from 1 species